CAGCCGCCGCGGGAAAACGAAGGGGGCUAGCGUUGCUCGGAAUGACUGGGCGUAAAGGGCGCGUAGGCGGAUUGUUUAGUUAGGCGUGAAAUUCCUGGGCUUAACCUGGGGACUGCGCUUAAUACAGGCAGUCUAGAGUGAGGAAGAGGGUUGUGGAAUUCCCAGUGUAGAGGUGAAAUUCGUAGAUAUUGGGAAGAACACCGGUGGCGAAGGCGGCAACCUGGUCCUUGACUGACGCUGAGGCGCGAAAGCGUGGGGAGCAAACAGGAUUAGAUACCCCAGUAGUCCCUGUCUCUUAUAC
rnacentral:rRNA from 1 species